GGGAAUAACUCUGGGAAACCGGAGCUAAUACCGCAUAAGUCCGAGAGGAGAAAGGCGAAAGUCGCCGAAGAAGGAGCCCGCGGCUGAUUAGCUAGUUGGUGAGGUAAUGGCCCACCAAGGCGAAGAUCGGUAGCCGGCCUGAGAGGGCACACGGCCACACUGGCACUGAGACACGGGCCAGACUCCUACGGGAGGCAGCAGUGGGGAAUCUUGCACAAUGGGGGAAACCCUGAUGCAGCGACGCCGCGUGAACGAUGAAGCCCUUCGGGGUGUAAAGUUCUUUCGGCAGGAACGAUAAUGACGGUACCUGAAGAAGAAGCUGCGGCUAACUACGUGCCAGCAGCCGCGGUAAUACGUAGGCAGCAAACGUUGUUCGGAGUUACUGGGCGUAAAGAGUACGUAGGCGGUUUGCCAAGUUUGGUGUGAAAUCUCCUGGCUUAACUGGGAGGGUGCGCCGAAUACUGGCAGGCUUGAGUGUUGGAGAGGGGAGCGGAAUUCCUGGUGUAGCGGUGAAAUGCGUAGAUAUCAGGAGGAACACCGGUGGUGUAGACGGCUCCCUGGACAACCACUGACGCUGAGGUACGAAAGCGUGGGUAGCAAACAGGAUUAGAUACCCUGGUAGUCCACGCCCUAAACGAUGCAAACUUGGUGUAGGCAGUUCAGUCUGUCUGUGCCGGAGCUAACGCGUUAAGUU
rnacentral:rRNA from 1 species